GCCUCGGUGAUGGAAUUGGUAGACGUGCCGGACUCAAAAUCCGGUGCCGCAAGGCGUGGCGGUUCGAGUCCGCCCCGAGGCACCA
rnacentral:tRNA from 20 species